GAUGAACGCUAGCGGCAGGCCUAAUACAUGCAAGCCGAACGGCAAGUUUGAUAGCAAUAUUGGACCUAGAGUGGCGCAAGGGUGCGUAACACGUAUGCAACCUGCCCGCGACAGGAGGAUAGCUCCCCGAAAGGGGAAUUAACCCUCCAUAACACCAUGAGAAGGCAUCUGAUUAUGGUUAAACCGCAAGGGGUCGCGGAUGGGCAUGCGGUUGAUUAGCUAGUUGGCGGGGUAAAGGCCCACCAAGGCGGUGAUCAAUAGGGGUUCUGAGAGGAAGGUCCCCCACACUGGCACUGGGAUACGGGCCAGACGCCUACGGGAGGCAGCAGUAGGGAAUAUAGGACAAUGGUUGCAAGACUGAUCCAGCCAUGCCGCGUGCAGGAAGAAGGCCUUCUGGGUCGUAAACUGCUUUUUCCUGUGGAUAAAAUACCCGUGCGCGGGGAAUUGAAGGUAACAGGAGAAUAAGCCACGGCUAACUACGUG
rnacentral:rRNA from 1 species